rnacentral:misc_RNA from 1 species
GUGCCGCAGCAGCCGACGCAUGCUUGCAGCUGUGUUCCGUAAGUGUUGUGUGGUGUUCCCUAGCAUUUAGGUUUCUCGUGUGUUGCAUGUGGCGUUGGUUGUUUGCAAUACUGCUGCGUUGGAAGCUUCCUCUACGGAUACACGCUGUAAAGACUUGGAAAAGUGCCCACACCGGAGCACGUUGUUGCGCGCCGAGCCGCAAUGGUGAACUGCGCCGUCUACGGUUGUUCCAACCGGUCAAAAAACAAACCCAACGAUGAGAACUUUCAACCGCUGGGCUUCUAUGUCGUGCCCAAAGUCAAAGAAGGACAGUGUCUUAGGACAGCUGAGCUGUCUUCAAGGCGCAGAGCUCUGUGGCUGAGCAGAAUUCGUCGCAAAGACCUGGACGAAUUGGCGACGCAUUACCGAGUUUGCGGGGCGCAUUUCAUCACAGGUAAGCACGGCAGCGGCAUUAAAGCUUAGUUUUUUAGCGCAAUUCUUUGCAUGCAGCUCUGUAACGUACCAGUGGGCUAUAUUUUUCAGGACGACCAGCUUAUUUGAUGGAUGAGGCUAAUCCCGACUGGGCGCCGAGCCUCAAUCUCGGCUACAAGUCCACGACGCACGCUGGAAGAAGCGCAAGCGACAGGUGCAAAUUAAUUUUGUACGCAGUCAAACAAGUGAUUAUGAACUAAUCGAACUAAUUUUUUACAGGUAUAUGCGACUCAAGCAACGAAGGCGCGCGAGUUCUGCAGCCAACGCCUUUGAAUUAAGGCAGCGACCGGAGAGCGCGAGCACGAACGCGGCGCCCAUCGCUGCAGGAACGGCGGCCGAGGAGAUUUCUUUCAGUGACGAAGAAUCCCCCUCAUCAGAACAAACUGCAAUGCAACACCUUGUAGGCCAUGCAUGUAAGCUAAGUAAACAUUUAUGCAUUCGUACUUAAGAGAGUAUGGAGCUCUGGAGCAUGGCAAUUGCUCAUUUAGGCUUCUGUGUUAUGUGCGCAAGGACGUUUGUCUUUGAAUUCUCACAGCUGAUCGAAUACUGCGUUUGAAGCUGUUAACAGUAACGGUGCAUGCAGAUGCAACACAAAAUAAUUUGUAAAUGGAGAAACCAUUUAGUCAGCCCGUUAAGACUUGCGCACGCAAGCAAAGUGUUUUGUUGCGAAGGUUCCACUGAAGACUGCUUUUUUUCAACUAGUUUGUUUCCUUUCUGCGUGCUUUCAUUUUGCAGCUCCCGAGGAGCCUUCAUGCUUGGAAUGUCCAGUUCUACAAGAAAAUCUAGCCACAGCUCAGUGCCACCUGCAAGCGGAUCUGCAGAAUAACCAAGCUUCUGCAUGCAAGUAUCGCACAGUUUUGUUUCUAGGGCUUGCAAAUCCUGUGUUCCUGCA